UUGUACUGCCUACCAACAGCGGCUGCGGUUAUAUAUCUACUCUACCGCACUUUAGUCUUUAACACUAUUCAUCAUAAAUUACAUACUGUUUUGGGUAUUUUAUAAUUUAUAGUGAGUUUGGGCCUAAUUGUAGCUAACAUGUACUUCAACGAGAAUAUCCGCAUACACACAAUGGUAUCUGUUGGCUCCGGUGACCGCUUCACAUCAGAAUAGCCGUCGGAACAUCGUACUACGUGAGGAGUGUCGGCGUAAAUAGCUUAAGGUAGCGUCGGAAUGCUACUUCGACAAAGAAGCGUGACUCCAUAACCCUCUUAUCGUGGCUGCCACUAAUUACAUAUGCGACCCAGGCGACGGGGUAACGCAUAGUCGCCGUCGCCCAAAACAUGUCUUGUUAGAUCCCUAGAUCUACUUUCAGUGCUUUUAGACCCCUGAAGCAUCGGUCAUCAUCCAAACCACUUCAAGCCUCAGCCAACUAAUUCAUAGAAACAGCCCACUGAGUUUCUCGCCGGAUCUGCUCAGUGGGUUACGAUUCCGAUCUGGUAGUAGAUGCUGCAAAGCGCUGCUCUUGCUAGGAAUGAUGUUAUCAAAUUCUCUCAGGUUGAGCCCGUAACUUACCCGUCCGCGUGAAGCUGGAAUAGCCCUUUAGACUCUCAGAGACUGGGAAGGGAAAAAAACAUUCAACCCAUUUACGGAUUAUGUUCAAUUACAAGAUUUUAUAUAAUCGUCGUAAAAUUGUAGUUUAUUUCAGUGACUCUACACAAACGAAGUCUCGGUGAGUGAUCUCGCACAGCGUCCAGAGGCCGCCGCAGAGCGCCGCACUGAUACAUCGCCCGUUAUCGAGCAUUGCGCAAUGUCCGCGCGCGCCGAUAACGACUUCCGCUGUUCACUUUAAUUCGCGCGCUAAUCGUGUGUCUAUUUCGAUCUACUCCUGGAGCAUCUGUCGGCCAUACUGCUACCCACGACCCAACUAAGUCUCGUCCACAUUACAUAGUCCGCGAGGCUGCCGCGGGACGACUGGGGCUCGUAUAUCUUUCUUUGUCAUCGUACAGUCAUAAUGAAGAGUAAACAAUAACAAUCGGCAACAAGGAAAAGUCUGACCCGACAAUCCGACUCGGUGAGAGCACGGUCACGGUGUGCAUGUAUAUAUAUAUAUACGGUUAUACUAAUUCAGAGUUCAUUUCUGUACGUUUACUGAGCGCUGUAAUGACGGAGUGAUGCAUGGUAAUGGUCGAGAAGCCGCCACAAUUUACUUUGUAAUUUCCUGCCAAUCCACGACUAACGGACGGCGCCGGGGUCGCGCACUAGUAUGUACACACACCCACACGCGCGCCACGUGCACACAUGCACACAAGGGCAUACGCUCACUACAUCUACUAAAGUACGACCUCUUUAAGCAAACAGAAAUACUACCACCUACAGGUACUACCAUAUUUUUAUUGAAGGUGAGCAAACGAAUAAUUACAACAACUAUACAGCUUACAAACUAAAUAAUGAGCUAUAUAUAACAGCAACAAGCCCAACUGAAAACUGAAAUGAACAAUUAUGCAUACUGGUGAUCUUGGUCAGGAUAAUAAUAUAUAUAUUUAUUUAUUGCUUCGGUGGGUGGACGAUCUCACAGUCCACCUGGUGUUAAGUGGUUACUGGAGCCCAUAGACAUCUACAAAAGCUGUAGUUACAACGGCUGCCCCACCCUUCAGACCGAAACGCAUUACUGUUUCACGGCAGAAAUAGGCAGGGUGGUGGUAUCUACCCGCGUGGACUCACAAGAGGUCCUACCACCAGUAGUCCAGUCCAGUAGUCCAGUAGUCCUACCACUAUAUUGUGUCAAAAUAAUAUAAUUGUAUUAUAUAUUGAAUUGUAUAAUAUUGUCAUAUUCUACAUGAAUUAAUUACAGUCAUCUGUCCUUGAAAUUUGCAAUAAUUUUCAAGUUAAUCGGACGUCUGAGUUUCUGAAAAUUAGAAAAUCACGUUUGAUAUGGAUACCAUUCAGGUUCUGAUACAUUCAUUUACACAAAUUCACUUGAGAUAUUUAUAAGCGAGUCAUACUCGUCCAUUAUAACCCCAUAGCUGACGAGAACGUGUCCGCUGGGUGUCUGAUAGGUAAAGCAAUCGUUCUCAAAAACUAUUUAUACUUACAAAUAUUUUUUAUACAAGCUCAGCACAUGUGUUUUCUUUAGAAUCGUCUAGAGGUCAAUUAACUCCACAUACAUGUUAUAAUAUUAAUCACUCUUAUAGAUAGAUCGAGACUUGACCUGUGCCAUCACUGCAUGUCACUGCAUGGCUUCGCUUGUGCCCAUCAGGGUGCUGUGAGCGCUCGAGGUACGUAUAUAAAUGUUUGAUUCCCUCUAGAGCAGUCGGGUUCGGGUUCGGGGCAUACAGGCAGGGGGAAUAGACGCGACCACAUCGGAUCAUUUGGAGCCUCUGGGUCUGCGGAGGGACUUCGGUUCUCUCUGUAUUUUGUACCGUAUGUUCCAUGGGGAGUGCUCUGAGGAAUUGUUCGAGAUGAUACCAGCAUCUCGUUUUUACCAUCGCACCGCCCGCCACCGGAGUAGAGUUCAUCCAUACUACCUGGAGCCACUGCGGUCAUCCACAGUGCGUUUCCAGAGAUCUUUUUUGCCACGUACCAUCCGGCUAUGGAAUGAGCUCCUCUCCACGGUGUUUCCCGAGCGCUAUGACAUGUCCUUCUUCAAACGAGGCUUAUGGAGAGUAUUAAGCGGUAGGCAGCGGCUUGGCUCUGCCCCUGGCAUUGCUGAAGUCCAUGGGCGACGGUAACCGCUCACCAUCAGGUGGGCCGUGUGCCCGACUGCCUACAAAGGCAAUAAAAAAAAAAAAAAAAACUUCAAUCCAAUAGCGCCCAGCGAGAAUAACGACACAAUACGAAGUGAAUGAGAAGAUGCGAUACUAGUGAGUGCAAAACAAUCAUUUUGAGACUGAUAAUUUUAAUAACUAAACUUGGUUUUGCCAAAAAUAUUUAGUUCGAGAUUUUUCAAUUUAUUGAAUCGGAAAUAAAUAAAAACCUAAUACCUAAUUAUUUUAAUUUAAACAUAGCAUUCAGAAAACGAACAAAAAACGAAUGUAAGUUGAUACUCGCGGACAUGAUGUCGGAUCACAUUAAUCGCGCAGCCCAUCUCAUACUUAACUUCACUUAGUUCAACUUAAUAGUUUCUCGCUCGCUCCUGCAACAUUUUCACGCUAACUUCAACUUAUCUCGUUCGUGAUCAAGCUGCAGACACGAGUACGUUUCUGACGGUUUCCAAGAUGCAAUCUAUGCAUUGUAUGUUUUCGUUCUAUUCAUAUGCAGCAUACGUAAAAUGCUAUAAAAAUAAUGAGUUUAAAAUCACGCAUACUCGGAUUCACAGAUCAUAAAUCUGGAUAAUUCUUCAUCGUGGACUUUUUGUCGUUCACAAACAGAAUUUUAGAUAAAAGCUAUUGAAAUAGUUUCCUAAUCAAGCUCUGUACAAUGCUCCCAUUUGUCGACGCCGCUUAGAAAAUAGUUGGUAGAAAAGUGUGGGAGCGAAAUUUAAAAAGUUUGGAAGUUUUUCAUUGACAGUUCGACCUCCGAGACAGAAGUAGCCCGCAUCCUGGCGAGCUUCAAGUUGAAGGACUGGUCGCCCCGCCCAACAGACGUUAUAGAAGACGGCUCGUGUAGGUGGGUGGAUAGGUAGGUAGAUAGGACCGUCCCAGGCCGCUCGCCAAUUAAACAACAAAUUAACAAUUUAACAAAUUUCUUUGCGUUUUUGGAAUGCGUUUUUAAGACCUCUUGACUAAUGAAAAGAUCCAAAACGAAAGACAUUCCGGGUUUAUCCCAUACACGCUCUAGGGGCUUAAGUCUGCCUCCGAACCUCGUUUGAAGGAGGACAAGUUAUAGCGUUCAGGAAAAAUCAAGUCCAUUCAAGAGAAGUCCAUUCUCAAGGAGGAAGCACACUGUGUACAGACGCAGUGGCUCUAGUGGCAUACUCGUGGUAAUAUUAUCGUAAAGUACAAGAAAUGCAGCGUAAGGACUCGAUAUCACUGUCAUAUUAGUGGACAUGCGCGAUACCGUACGUCGCUCGACCGCAAGAGAUUACAGACAGAUAAUUAAAUAUAACGAAGGAAAAGAUUAAUUUAUAUGAGAACGCGAUUAGAGGCUGAAUAAUGAGUGAGGAAUGUACCCCGAGCCGCGCGACACAAACAAACCGCGACCGCGGAGCAGGUAGAGCCUGCGCGUAGCUCUACCACUUCACGCGCGGCGCUCUCGGCUUUCUAAGCGGCUCGCACUUGCUUCUUAACGAAAAGGUUUAUUUGAUUUGUUUAGCAGUAAAGUUAGUUCUACAUCGGCGUGGGCAUCCUACACUCUGUGAUCAUUUUUUUUGGGUUUGAUGGAUAUUGGUAUUCCGGGGGCUUUUUAUUUUCACCAGGACAAGUGGGCGAGCAAAAGCACAGCCACGAGCGGUGGGAUAUGCUAACAGCUGCGCGAGCGUCUCCGAAAGAGACUUAAUAACACGAGAGCAGCUGCUUCGCGAAUGAAUCUGCUACUGGAUCGGAAUCGCGACCCGCUGAGAAGAUCCGACGAGAAACUGAGCGAGCGGAUGCAUGGGUUAGGUUGCACGCCGACCUCUAUGUACGACGAGUAGGGUUACCGGGGUCCCUAAGCCUGCUCCUAGUGUUAGAGCUGAAGGCGUCGAUUGCAAAGUCUAUUGGAUCUGAUGGAUUCGUAAGGUCGUGUCUAGGGCGUCUACGGUGACUGGCUCCUGCGUGAUCAGGAUCGGGCAGCAACGCGAGGGACUGCUUGACCGCUCGUGACAGCUUAUCAACACGACGACCUUCCACGAUGUUAAAGCCUAAACUACCCCGCAAAUUUGUUACAUGAUUCAUCAACAC